rnacentral:RNase_P_RNA from 1 species
GGCGCAGGCUGGAUGGUCGCCCCACACCUUUUUGAUAUUUAUAGACUUAAGGAAGGAUACAAUUCUUAAGCUUUUGAAUACAUAAAAGGUGCGGGGAGGAAAGUCCGGGCUCCACAGGGCAGCGUAGCGGGUAAUGCCCGUCUCCCGCACCUUUUUAAUAUUCACAAGGUUAACAGCCACAUAUCUUUUAGUCUUCGUGAAUGCAUAAAAGGUGCGGGACGGAUUAGAGCCACAGAGACGAGUCAAAUUUUGCGGAGCAAAAUUUGCUCCACAAGUUUGGGUGAAACGCGGCAAUCUCUACGCGGAGCAAAACCAAAUAGGCCUCGCUGAUAAGAAUGGCCCGUUCGAAGAAUGCGAGGCGGGUAGGUUGCGUGAUCCUCGCAGCAAUGCCAGGGCCAGAUAGAUGACCGUUGCGGUCAGCGCGAAGACAGAUCCCUCAGAUACUCCUGUUUGUCGUAUCUUCGGGAUCAAUCAGCGCUUCGCGCUGAUUGACAGAACCCGGCUUACAGGCCUGCGCCUUAU